rnacentral:rRNA from 1 species
GACGAACGCUGGCGGCGUGCUUAACACAUGCAAGUCGAACGGAAAGGCCCUGCUUGCAGGGUACUCGAGUAGCGAACGGGUGAGGAACACGUGGGUGAUCUUCCCUGCACUUCGGGAUAAGCCUGGGAAACUGGGUCUAAUACCGGAAAGGAGCCAUCUUUAGUGUGUUGGUUGGAAAGUUUUUUCGGUGUAGGAUGGGCUGGCGGCCUAGCAGCUUGUUGGUGGGGUAAUGGCCUACCAAGGCGGCGACGGGUAGCGGGCCUGGGAGGGUGGACGGCCACAUUGGGGCUGAGAUCCGGCCCAGACUCCUACGGGAGGCAGCAGUGGGGAAUAUUGCACAAGGGGCGCAAGCGUGAUGCAGCGACGCCGCGUGGGGGAUGACGGCCUUCGGGUUGUAAACGCCUUUCGCUAGGGACGAAGCGUUUUGUGACGGUACCUAGAUAAGAAGCACCGGCUAACUACGUG